GGGUGUUAUAGCUCAGUGAGGUAGAGCAUUCAACUGCCGAUCGAGAGGUCUCUGGUUCAAACCCAGGUGCCCC